GGGUCAGUAGGUUUGUCGGGCCACCGGUACGUACUGGUCUCACUGAUUCCUCCUUCCUGAAGAACCGUAAUGCCAUUAAUUUGGUGUUGCGGGGAAACAGGACUGUUACUUUGAAAAAAUUAGAGUGUUUAAAGCAAGCUAACGCUUGAAUACAUUAGCAUGGAAUAAUGAAAUAGGACGAUCGAUCCUAUUUUGUUGGUUUCUAGGAUUGACGUA
rnacentral:rRNA from 1 species